rnacentral:lncRNA from 1 species
GAAAAUCGUAUUCUUAUCCCAAAGUUAAAUUAAUAACCGUGGCAUUUAUUAAGAGAUAAAGAAUAUAAAGUUAAAAGAGAAAAAAACAUCAUUACAUAAUACUUUGAAAUGAGAUGUUCAACAUUACAUUUGCAGCUUUCAGAUUUUGCAGCAUCAAAUAUACUGGACAAUCAAAUCAUGUUGGCGGCUGGUAUGUUUCCGGAGUGCUCUAUACCAUCAUAACCUUCUUUAACAGAAGGGUCUUCUCCAAACUGUAUAAAAAAGCCACCCCCUGUUUGUACAAGAACAAUUUAUCCCGCAGCUGUUUAUAGUUAUGGCUAAGUAUUACAAAAAGUGUGUGCGGUAUAACAAUGAGGUACUUAACAAGUUUGUUUCGCGUGGCUGAAUGAUGUGUUGUUACCUAUAGGGCCUCAGUCCUUUUCUCCCUGAAACAGGGUUGUGCCGCCACGGCGUACAUGUCAUU